UACGUAGGGUGCGAGCGUUUAAUCGGAAUUACUGGGCGUAAAGCGUGCGCAGGCGGUUUUGUAAGUCAGAUGUGAAAUCCCCGGGCUCAACCUGGGAACUGCAUUUGUGACUGCACAGCUGGAGUGCGGCAGAGGGGGAUGGAAUUCCGCGUGUAGCAGUGAAAUGCGUAGAUAUGCGGAGGAACACCGAUGGCGAAGGCAAUCCCCUGGGCCUGCACUGACGCUCAUGCACGAAAGCGUGGGGAGCAAACAGG
rnacentral:rRNA from 1 species